rnacentral:lncRNA from 1 species
UUAGUUAUGAUCUCGGCUCAAUAAUGCAUUAUGGUGAGAGCUUUUUUACAAAAAAUGGACAAAGCACCAUUGAAGUCCUUGGUAACAAACGUUCCAUUGGUCAACGGCUUGCGCUUAGUGAAACAGACAAGAUGAAGUUGAAUAAGCUUUAUUGUUCUCCACAAUAUCUAGAAGAGUAUAAAAACCUUAAAGAGCAAAACUUUGAAAAAAUAUCAAAAAAUGUUUAUGCACAUUAUUGAUUCCGACAAUUAAUUUUGCUUAAAGAUAUUUAAUAG